rnacentral:lncRNA from 1 species
UGGCAGAGCUAAACUUUAUUCCUCAUUUCAUUCUUCACAUGAAAACUGGAAGAAAAAAAGAUCAAAGACCUACACAACUGUCUAUAGAAGUUUUCUACAUGUCUUACCUAGUGCUGCCUUCAUAAGUACAUUUACAGGUAUCGUGACAGUGGCAAGUUGAGUACCAGCAAGUUACAAUGCAAACAUCUUUGUAUGUGAAGCUGACCAAUAAGAAAAAAGAGCACCAAAUUUCGGAAGGACCUCUG